UGAUCCUGGCUCAGAGCGAACGCUGGCGGCAGGCUUAACACAUGCAAGUCGAGCGGGCCCUUCGGGGUCAGCGGCGGACGGGUGAGUAACGCGUGGGAACGUGCCUUCUGGUUCGGAAUAACCCUGGGAAACUAGGGCUAAUACCGGAUACGCCCUUUUGGGGAAAGGUUUACUGCCGGAAGAUCGGCCCGCGUCUGAUUAGCUAGUUGGUGGGGUAACGGCCUACCAAGGCGACGAUCAGUAGCUGGUCUGAGAGGAUGAUCAGCCACACUGGGACUGAGACACGGCCCAGACUCCUACGGGAGGCAGCAGUGGGGAAUAUUGGACAAUGGGCGCAAGCCUGAUCCAGCCAUGCCGCGUGAGUGAUGAAGGCCUUAGGGUUGUAAAGCUCUUUUAUCCGGGACGAUAAUGACGGUACCGGAGGAAUAAGCCCCGGCUAACUUCGUGCCAGCAGCCGCG
rnacentral:rRNA from 1 species